rnacentral:rRNA from 1 species
GACGAACGCUGGCGGCGUGCCUAACACAUGCAAGUCGAACGGAGUUAAGAGAGCUUGCUCUUUUAACUUAGUGGCGGACGGGUGAGUAACGCGUGAGUAACCUGCCUUUCAGAGGGGAAUAACAUUCUGAAAAGAAUGCUAAUACCGCAUGAGAUCGUAGUAUCGCAUGGUACAGCGACCAAAGGAGCAAUCCGCUGAAAGAUGGACUCGCGUCCGAUUAGCUAGUUGGUGAGAUAAAGGCCCACCAAGGCGACGAUCGGUAGCCGGACUGAGAGGUUGAGCGGCCACAUUGGGACUGAGACACGGCCCAGACUCCUACGGGAGGCAGCAGUGGGGGAUAUUGCACAAUGGGGGAAACCCUGAUGCAGCAACGCCGCGUGAAGGAAGAAGGUCUUCGGAUUGUAAACUUCUGUCCUCAGGGAAGAUAAUGACGGUACCUGAGGAGGAAGCUCCGGCUAACUACGUGCCAGCAGCCGCGGUAAUACGUAGGGAGCAAGCGUUGUCCGGAUUUACUGGGUGUAAAGGGUGCGUAGGCGGAUCUGCAAGUCAGUAGUGAAAUCCCAGGGCUUAACCCUGGAACUGCUAUUGAAACUGUGGGUCUUGAGUGAGGUAGAGGCAGGCGGAAUUCCCGGUGUAGCGGUGAAAUGCGUAGAGAUCGGGAGGAACACCAGUGGCGAAGGCGG